GGAAAGAUGAAAAGAACUUUGAAAAGAGAGUUAAACAGUACGUGAAAUUGUUGAAAGGGAAACGAUUGAAGCCAGUCGUACCGGUGGGUAAUCAGCCUUUCGGCGUGAUUAUGUGGAGCGUGAGGAGUUAAACGCCCUCAUGCCUGCAUAUUCGUGUUCUUUGGGUGUACUUACCCGCAUGGUAGGUUAACAUCAAUUUCGAACGUCAUAAAAUGGUUGGAGGAAUGUAGCUUCGAUCUCGUAUUGAAGUGUUAUAGCCUUCGGCAGAUGUGAUGAUCGGGAUUGAGGAUUGCAACGGAUACCCCUCGGGCUACCCGUCUGAUCUCUGAAAGUUACUCUGGUGCCGAAAGCUCGCUUACGGUCAUCAAAGUUGACGUUCAACAGGUUAGAACGGGAUAAAUUCGUUAAGGAUGUUGACGUAAUGGCUUUAAACGACCCGUCUUGAAACACGGACCA
rnacentral:rRNA from 1 species